CAGGAAACAGAUGAAAAAGAUAACACCAAAAGGGUAAGGUGAUUUCACAGAAUUCACAUUUAAAAAUAAUCAGGAAACCUCUGAUCAUUCAUAGUAAAGCUCACUACUUUUUUUUUUAACAGUUCUUAUUUCAUUAUUCGAAGACUCGAAAGUUGGGCAAUUCAAAUGUUGUGUCGUCUGUCCUGCAUCCGCUGCUGCAGCUCGUCCCACAACUGCAUGAGAGAAGAAUGAAGAGGUUCAGAUUGGACGAAGAAUUCCAAGGUCCUAUUGCAAGCCAAAGUAGAAGAUACUUUUUAUUCAGGCCACGCAAUGGAAGAAGAUCAGAAGGUUACAUUUAAAAUGAACACCAGCUAUAUUCUGCAGAAUCAACGCUAUGGGAUAUAAAAUGUACUGAAUUUUUUCUUUUCUUCUGAAAAACAAUCCUUGCUAAGUUUAACAAGUUUGAGAAUCCCUGUGUUGUAAACAUUCUUAGUAAAAGUUUAACUGAGAUUGUAAAUGUUUAAUUUAUUGAAAAUUAAAGAAGCAUCUUAAAAUAUUUUUUCUUAGUGUUUAAUGAUAAAUCGUGUAUAAUAAAGCUGUAAAU
rnacentral:lncRNA from 1 species